rnacentral:misc_RNA from 1 species
UUUCCGUAGGUGAACCUGCGGAAGGAUCAUUGUCGAAGCCUGCCCAGCAGAACGACCAGCGAACUUGUAUAAACAACCGAGGGCAGGGGCGAUCUCGCCCCGUGCCCUCGAACGGCAGGGAGACACUCGUGCCUUCUUGUCGAACAACGAACCCCGGCGCGGUCUGCGCCAAGGAACUUCAAUUAAAGAGUGCCUCCGGUCGCCUCGGAAACGAUGGGCGUGUCGGAGGCGAAUCUUGUACAAAACCAUAAUGACUCUCGGCAACGGAUAUCUCGGCUCUC